rnacentral:rRNA from 1 species
AAUGAACGUUGGCGGCGUGGAUUAGGCAUGCAAGUCGUACGGGUCGGUGUAGCAAUACAACGGCAAGUGGCGAAAGGGAGAGUAACACGUAGAUACCUUCCCUCUGGUCGGGGAUACCGCGGCAUAACCGCAAGUAAUACCCGAUAAAAUCUCCGGAUCAAAGGUGUGAUUCCGCCGGAGGAGGGGUCUGCGUUCUAUCAGCUUGUUGGUGAGGUAAUGGCUCACCAAGGCUAAGACGGAUACGGGGUGUGAGAGCACGCCCCCGCUCACUGGGACUGAGACACUGCCCAGACACCUACGGGUGGCUGCAGUCGAGAAUCUUCGGCAAUGGGCGCAAGCCUGACCGAGCGACGCCGCGUGCGGGAUGAAGGCCUUCGGGUUGUAAACCGCUGUCGAGGGGAAUGAAGUGCAAGUGAGUUAUCUCAUUUGUUUGACAGAUCCCUGGAGGAAGCAUGGGCUAAGUUCGUGCCAGCAGCCGCAGUAAUAC